CAAUAGCCCUGAUGGUAGCGGCAUCCUUUUGCUUUUUUUUCAUAUAUGAAAAAGCAAAAGAUAUAGCGGACAGCAGGUUCUCGG
rnacentral:sRNA from 1 species